CCUACGGGUGGCAGCAGUGAGGAAUAUUGGUCAAUGGACGAGAGUCUGAACCAGCAAAGUAGCGUGAAGGCUGACUGCCCUAUGGGUUGUAAACUUCUUUUAUAUGGGAAUAAAAUGUUCCACGUGUGGGAUUUUGUAUGUACCAUAUGAAUAAGGAUCGGCUAACUCCGUGCCAGCAGCCGCGGUAAUACGGAGGAUCCGAGCUUUAUCCGGAUUUAUUGGGUUUAAAGGGAGCGUAGGUGGAUUGUUAAGUCAGUUGUGAAAGUUUGCGGCUCAACCGUAAAAUUGCAGUUGAAACUGGCAGUCUUGAGUACAGUAGAGGUGGGCGGAAUUCGUGGUGUAGCGGUGAAAUGCUUAGAUAUCACGAAGAACUCCGAUUGCGAAGGCAGUUCACUGGACUGCAACUGACACUGAGGCUCGAAAGUGUGGGUAUCAAACAGGAUUAGAUACCCGUGUAGUC
rnacentral:rRNA from 1 species